GGGUUCCGGAAGUGUAGGGUUCCUAGCGAGCCCAACCUCCCACCCGUGUUUACUGUACCUUAGUUGCUUCGGCGGGCCCGCCAUUCAUGGCCGCCGGGGGCUCUCAGCCCCGGGCCCGCGCCCGCCGGAGACACCACGAACUCUGUCUGAUCUAGUGAAGUCUGAGUUGAUUGUAUCGCAAUCAGUUAAAACUUUCAACAAUGGAUCUCUUGGUUCCGGCAUCGAUGAAGAACGCAGCGAAAUGCGAUAACUAGUGUGAAUUGCAGAAUUCCGUGAAUCAUCGAGUCUUUGAACGCACAUUGCGCCCCCUGGUAUUCCGGGGGGCAUGCCUGUCCGAGCGUCAUUGCUGCCCAUCAAGCACGGCUUGUGUGUUGGGUCGUCGUCCCCUCUCCGGGGGGGACGGGCCCCAAAGGCAGCGGCGGCACCGCGUCCGAUCCUCGAGCGUAUGGGGCUUUGUCACCCGCUCUGUAGGCCCGGCCGGCGCUUGCCGAACGCAAAUCAAUCUUUUUCCAGGUUGACCUCGGAUCAGGUAGGGAUACCCGCUGAACUUAAGCAUAUCAAUAAGCGGAGGAAAAGAAUC
rnacentral:rRNA from 1 species